AAGCUUGGCUUCUAUGACGUUAGCGGCGGACGGGUGAGUAACACGUGGGCAACCUGCCUGUAAGACUGGGAUAACUUCGGGAAACCGAAGCUAAUACCGGAUAGGAUCUUCUCCUUCAUGGGAGAUGAUUGAAAGAUGGUUUCGGCUAUCACUUACAGAUGGGCCCGCGGUGCAUUAGCUAGUUGGUGAGGUAACGGCUCACCAAGGCAACGAUGCAUAGCCGACCUGAGAGGGUGAUCGGCCACACUGGGACUGAGACACGGCCCAGACUCCUACGGGAGGCAGCAGUAGGGAAUCUUCCGCAAUGGACGAAAGUCUGACGGAGCAACGCCGCGUGAGUGAUGAAGGCUUUCGGGUCGUAAAACUCUGUUGUUAGGGAAGAACAAGUACGAGAGUAACUGCUCGUACCUUGACGGUACCUAACCAGAAAGCCACGGCUAACUACGUGCCAGCACCCGCGGUAAUACGUAUGUGGCAAGCGUUAUCCGGAAUUAUUGGGCGUAAAGCGCGCGCAGGCGGUUUCUUAAGUCUGAUGUGAAAGCCCACGG
rnacentral:rRNA from 1 species